rnacentral:rRNA from 1 species
AUUGAACGCUAGCGGCAGGCCUAACACAUGCAAGUCGAACGAGUGGCGGACGGGUGAGUAAUGUCUGGGAAACUGCCCGAUGGAGGGGGCUAACUACUGGAAACGGUAGCUAAUACCGCAUACCAUCGGAUGUGCACAGAUGUGAUUAGGUAGUAGGGGGGGUAAUGGCUCACCUAGUCGACGAUCCCUAGCUGGUCUGAGAGGAUGACCCGCCACACUGGAACUGAGACACGGUCCAGACACCUACGGGAGGCAGCAGUGGUGAAUAUUGCACAAUGGGCGCAAGCCUGAUGCAGCCAUGCCGCGUGUAUGAAGAAGGCCUUCGGGUUGUAAAGUACUUUCAGCGGGGAGGCGUUACCCACAUAGGAAGCACCGGCUAACUCCGUGCCAGCCGCCGCGGUAAUAC